rnacentral:rRNA from 1 species
GUCGAGCGGAACGAGUUAUCUGAACCUUCGGGGGACGAUAACGGCGUCGAGCGGCGGACGGGUGAGUAAUGCCUAGGAAAUUGCCCUGAUGUGGGGGAUAACCAUUGGAAACGAUGGCUAAUACCGCAUGAUGCCUACGGGCCAAAGAGGGGGACCUUCGGGCCUCUCGCGUCAGGAUAUGCCUAGGUGGGAUUAGCUAGUUGGUGAGGUAAGGGCUCACCAAGGCGACGAUCCCUAGCUGGUCUGAGAGGAUGAUCAGCCACACUGGAACUGAGACACGGUCCAGACUCCUACGGGAGGCAGCAGUGGGGAAUAUUGCACAAUGGGCGCAAGCCUGAUGCAGCCAUGCCGCGUGUGUGAAGAAGGCCUUCGGGUUGUAAAGCACUUUCAGUCGUGAGGAAGGUAGUGUAGUUAAUAGCUGCAUUAUUUGACGUUAGCGACAGAAGAAGCACCGGCUAACUCCGUGCCAGCAGCCGCGGUAAUACGGAGGGUGCGAGCGUUAAUCGGAAUUACUGGGCGUAAAGCGCAUGCAGGUGGUUUGUUAAGUCAGAUGUGAAAGCCCGGGGCUCAACCUCGGAAUAGCAUUUGAAACUGGCAGACUAGAGUACUGUAGAGGGGGGUAGAAUUUCAGGUGUAGCGGUGAAAUGCG